rfam:Clostridium sp. CAG:306 genomic scaffold, scf115
GUGUCAGUAGCUCAGCAGGAUAGAGCAGCAGUCUCCGAAGCUGCAGGCCGGGGGUUCGAAUCCCCCCUGGCACG